rnacentral:rRNA from 1 species
AACGAACGCUGGCGGCAUGCCUAACACAUGCAAGUCGAACGAUUGCCUUCGGGUGAUAGUGGCGCACGGGUGCGUAACGCGUGGGAAUCUGCCCUUAGGUUCGGAAUAACAGCUGGAAACGGCUGCUAAUACCGGAUGAUAUCGCGAGAUCAAAGAUUUAUCGCCUGAGGAUGAGCCCGCGUUGGAUUAGGUAGUUGGUGGGGUAAAGGCCUACCAAGCCGACGAUCCAUAGCUGGUCUGAGAGGAUGAUCAGCCACACUGGGACUGAGACACGGCCCAGACUCCUACGGGAGGCAGCAGUGGGGAAUAUUGGACAAUGGGCGCAAGCCUGAUCCAGCAAUGCCGCGGGAGUGAUGAAGGCCCUAGGGUUGUAAAGCUCUUUUACCCGGGAAGAUAAUGACUGUACCGGGAGAAUAAGCCCCGGCUAACUCCGU